rnacentral:rRNA from 1 species
AAUCAACGCUGGCGGCGUGCCUCAGACAUGCAAGUCGAACGAUUAAGACUUCCUUCGGGAAGUGUAUAAAGUGGCGCACGGGUGAGUAACACGUAAGUAAUCUACCUUCGAGUGGGAAAUAACAUCGGGAAACAGAUGCUAAUACCGCAUAAUGCAGCGGCAUCGCAAGAAGACGGUUGUUAAAGGAGCAAUUCGAUAGAAGAGGAGCUUGCGGCAGAUUAGCUAGUUGGUAAGGUAAUGGCUUACCAAGGCUACGAUCUGUAUCCGGUCUAAGAGGACGGUCGGACACACUGACACUGAAUAACGGGUCAGACUCCUACGGGAGGCAGCAGUCGGGAAUUUUGGGCAAUGGGCGAAAGCCUGACCCAGCAACGCCGCGUGAGGGAUGAAGUAUUUCGGUAUGUAAACCUCGAAAGAAUGGGAAGGAUAAAUGACGGUACCAUUUAUAAGCUCCGGCUAACUACGUGCCAGCCGCCGCCGUAAGAC